rnacentral:lncRNA from 1 species
GUUAAACCUCUCUCAGUUUCCAUUUUCUCAUCUAUACAGAUAUGAGACUUUUGAUAAUUCCUACUCGUGGUAGAAAAUGUCACCAAUAAAGAAAAGUAUAAAGAGUAAACUUGGCCAGGCAUGGUGGCUCAUGCCUGUAAUCCCAGCACUUUGGGAGGCCGAGGCGGGUGGAUCACCUAAGGUCAGGAGUUUGAGACCAGCCUGGCCAACACGGUGAAACAGUGUCUCUAUCAAAAAUACAAAAUAUGCCAGGAGUGGUGGUGCACACCUGUAGUCCCAGCUACUCAGGAACUGAGGCAGGAGAAUCGCUUGAACCCGGGAGGCAGAGGUUGCAGUGAGUCAGAUCGCACCACUGCACUCCAACUCCAGCCUAGGUGACAGAGCAAGACUCCAUCUCAAAAAAAAAAAAAAAAAAAAAAAGAGUAAACUCAAGUCAGCCAUUACCCAGGCUCUUCAUGUCUGGAUCUUGCCCACCCCCUGCCUCCAGCCCCACACAGCAGGGUCAUGUCUCUCCCAGACCUCUCCAGGGACAACUGCUCCCUGGCAGCCUGAGGAAGCAUCUUGCUGUCUCACCAGUCCAUCAGCAAGGAGGCACUUCUUGCAGUCUACCCUGCAGUCUCAGCUGAUACAAUAGAAGUCAGCUCCUGUGUUCUCAGCCUGCACAUCCCCCACCAAGAUGGGAGGCCAGAAACAGAAUAUUUCUUCUGGCAGCUGCCAGCACUCACAUGAACAAGAAAAACUCUGGGAAUAAAACAAAAGUAAAUACAAGUAUUCAGCUUCAUCCCAUACAAAAGCCCUACUGACUCGCGAUUAAAAUGGGAGAAAGGAUGUCCAGGCACCAAGAAUGCAACUUUUUUUUUUUCCUUUUAGGAGGCAACCAAUCAAACUGAGAAGAGAGCAGCAAAGACCAUGCUCCUUGUGGCAGAGAUAAACAAUGGAGAUGGGAAGGAGAGACAAAAAAGUGAGAAUGUCCAGAGCUGGCGAAAGCAGAAGAGAAAUAAACACUCCGGUAGUCUGCUGGUGAGGAUGACAACUGGUCGACAUUUCUAGAGGCCAGUUCCGGCUCCAACACUGCUUGCGUGUAUCUGUGAAAGAGACCCAGGUGCCAUGAGGCUAGGAAGGCUGGGAUUUCGCAGCUCUUUGCACUGAAACUGCUGUUUCCUUGCUGGUGCUGCUGGAGAUGAAAAUCCACCAUCCUCCAGAAACCCAAAUCUCUCCUGGCACCAGCUCCCGGUGGCCAGCAAGUCCUAUCAUCAACUGGAAGAAAUGAAUGACAUGCUCUCCGCAUCACACUCACUUAGAGGGGUCACACAGCAAAGCUGCUUAAGCCCCUGAAGCAUUUGAGUUUAGAGAUGUCUCCCCUUCAGUUGACAGCUGUGACUUUCCAGAAAACACAUAUGCCACUGUGAGGUAGGGUAGUUUCUUGUAUUCAUUAUACAGUACCCAGAGCUCCUCCCUGUGCUGUUUAUGCUGUCAGAUAUCUUGUUUACCACGAAAGACACCAUCCCCCAUCAUGGGGGUCCCCGAAACUGGACCACCAUCCAAGCUAUCUAAAUUCAUUAGUCCCAGUAGCAUAUGUCCAAACUCAAAUGUGGAUGAGUCAGGAGACUUCACUUCUUAGAGGCUGCAAAUAGACAACCAGAAAAAGGAUUCUCAUCUAAUUCUGUUCAUCUGGUCGUUCAAAUUCUGGUUCCUACUCCACCCAAAACACCAUUACAUGAGCCUGAGAAAUGACUGGAUUACACAGACAAAUACAUUCUCAAUGCGUUCCUUGGGAUUGUGGGAUUAAGCUGAUUUUCUGCCCUUCGCAUCUUUCUUUGCAGUAAAGACUUUCUGCUCUUCCAAGUGAUUUUGAGCCUAUUAUUUCACAAGUGUAGCAGAUUGUUUGCAAAAAUGGCCAAAACUAUUCCACCCUCUGUAUCUGCAGUCAGACUUUUCAAUGUGACUUUGUUGCUUUUCCCAUCAAAAGGUGAAAUUUGUUUCUCCACUCCUUGAGUCUGGGCUGGCCUUGUAACUUGCUUUGACCUACAGAAUGAUGCAGCAGUGGCACCAUGACAGGCCUAGGUCUAGGUCUGAAAAGGUUUUGUGUCCUUCUGUCCUGGAGUCCAGAGACUCCCUGGGGUAGCCUGUUAAAGGAUGAAAAGCUCAUGGAACACAGACACUGUCUCAGCUGGGUCAGCCUGGACCAGCCAGCCCUUAGCAGCCCCGG